GAUGAAGAACGUAGUGAAAUGCGAUAAGUAAUGUGAAUUGCAGAAUUCAGUGAAUCAUCGAAUCUUUGAACGCACCUUGCGCCCUUUGGCUAUUCCGAAGGGCAUGCCUGUUUGAGUAUCAUGAACACCUCAACUCUCAUGGCUUGCCAUGAUGAGCUUGGACUUUUGGGGGUCUUGCUGGCCUGUGGUCAGCUCCUCUCAAAUGAAUUAGCCUGCCAGUGUUUGGUGGCAUCACAGGUGUGAUAACUAUCUACGCUUGUGGUUUUCCACCAGGUAACCUUCAGUGAUGAAGGUUCGCUGGGGCUCAUAAACGUCUCUCCUCAGUGAGGACAGCUCUUUGAACGUUUGAUCUCAAAUCAGGUAGGACUACCCGCUGAACUUAAGCAUAUCAAUAAGCGGAGGA
rnacentral:misc_RNA from 1 species